rnacentral:lncRNA from 1 species
UGAAUUAUUUUAUAUAGAACUAACUACUAAGCUUAUGGGAGUUCAUUGUAUAUCAUUUACAUUGUUACCAUAAUAUUACUAUCAGAAGAGAGUUCAUUUAGAUAGGAGAGAUUUUAUGGAUUUGAAUUCUUUCAUAUACUAACAUUUUAGAUACAUUAACUAAACAUAAAUGAUAAGCUACACUACACUACACAUGCCAUUUUAUAUAAUGGACAAAAAAAAUGUCUGAAUUGUGAUUCGCGAUUUACUUUAUUUCUUGGAGUGGACAGCUAAAUUCUGUUUUAGCUAAAGUAUGGCUGUCCAUCCUCUAAUGUUAUGUUUGGUUGGCGGGAAUGGAAUGACCAUUCCUUCCGGAAUAACUUAAAACAUGUUUGGUUAGUCAAUUGAAAUGAGCAUUUCAUUCCUUUAGUUAUUCCAUUUCCAUUUGAAUGAUAUUUUUCAUUCCUUUCUAAAUAGGUGGGUUUACUUUAUUCCCUUCCGGCUUCGUUGAUUUUUCACCUGACUUUAUCCUCUUCCAUUGAUCGAACUUUUCAUUCUCACCUCUCUACGGUAGCUUUUCUUCACGGUACCUUCUCUCCCUACCUUUCUCCCAUCGAUCGAAGAAACAAAUUAGCACCAAUCUCGUUCUCAUAUCCAAUUGAUCGAGCAAAUCGCUGCAGGAGAAUAAAGGUAUUAUCAAUCUAGUUCUCUUCAUCAUUCUCGUUCAAUAUCUUCACCAAUCUCGUUCUCAUAUCCAAUUGAUCUACAUACCAUAAUUAGCACUUGAAUCUAGCUUUUUGUUGGGAAACAAACAUAUCACGACAUAGAGAAAUAGAAAAUUGAGAAUUUAGAACACAAUCACACAACACAAGAAUUAUAGUGGAAACUCUAAAGACCGGAGAAAAAAUCACUUUCGUUGACAAAGACAACCAGAGAAAAUUUUCUAUUUGAAUAAUAUUACAAUCACUCACAAGAAUAAUUCUUCCCAAGACCACACAAAAUUCUCUGACACUUGAAUACUUCUUAUCCUUCAAUCUUUGGAUCGGUGCAACUCUCGGAUGGAAUGGUUCUCCCCAAUUCCAUCCCCCCUUAUCUUCUCUGGGAUGAGUCUAGUACUCUCUUCUACCCCUCCACCAGGAUGGGAUCCUCUCACCAAGGAUUGUCUCUCCUCAUUUCUCUCCUCUCGGAUAGGGUGUCUUCACACUUCCUUCUUUCACUUGGCAGCCUUGAUUAAACAGAAAAGGCAAAAGCCUUUUCUCUCUCCUCCAUGAUGCAGCCAGCUUGCAAAGGAAACGAAUUCCUUUUUCUUCUCCUUAAUUAAUGGGUUCCCCUUUUUCUUCUCC